AGUUGCUCAAGUGCAUGCAAAUGUCAAUACUCGAGACAAGACUCGUUUUGCUUGAAUGUGAAAAUGCACAAGAGUGAUAGAGAGACCGGAGGGAGAAGGGUGGUGGUUAGCUGUAGAGUUCAAAGUUUGGAUGGUGAAUAAAAUGUAUCAAGUCACAAACUUGUGUUUUGACAUUUUCAGUCGAGUUUAUGCAGGCAUCCCUAGUAAAUCUCAACACA
rnacentral:misc_RNA from 1 species